AGCGAACGCUGGCGGCAGGCCUAACACAUGCAAGUCGAACGAACUCUUCGGAUUUAGUGGCGGACGGGUGAGUAACACGUGGGAACGUGCCUUUAGGUUCGGAAUAACUCAGGGAAACUUGUGCUAAUACCGAAUGUGCCCUUCGGGGGAAAGAUUUAUCGCCUUUAGAGCGGCCCGCGUCUGAUUAGCUAGUUGGUGAGGUAAAGGCUCACCAAGGCGACGAUCAGUAGCUGGUCUGAGAGGAUGAUCAGCCACAUUGGGACUGAGACACGGCCCAAACUCCUACGGGAGGCAGCAGUGGGGAAUAUUGCGCAAUGGGCGAAAGCCUGAUGCAGCCAUGCCGCGUGAAUGAUGAAGGUCUUAGGAUUGUAAAAUUCUUUCACCGGGGACGAUAAUGACGGUACCCGGAGAAGAAGCCCCGGCUAACUUCGUG
rnacentral:rRNA from 1 species